AGUGAACGCUGGCGGUAGGCCUAACACAUGCAAGUCGAACGGCAGCACAGGAAGAGCUUGCUCUUACUGGUGGCGAGUGGCGGACGGGUGAGGAGUACAUCGGAAUCUACUUUUUCGUGGGGGAUAACGUAGGGAAACUUACGCUAAUACCGCAUACGACCUACGGGUGAAAGCAGGGGAUCUUCGGACCUUUCGCGAUUGAAUGAGCCGAUGUCGGAUUAGCUAGUUGGCGGGGUAAAGGCCCACCAAGGCGACGAUCCGUAGCUGGUCUGAGAGGAUGAUCAGCCACACUGGAACUGAGACACGGUCCAGACUCCUACGGGAGGCAGCAGUGGGGAAUAUUGGACAAUGGGCGAAAGCCUGAUCCAGCAAUACCGCGUGGGUGAAGAAGGCCUUCGGGUUGUAAAGCCCUUUUGUUGGGAAAGAAAAGCAGCAGGUUAAUACCCCGCUGUUCUGACGGUACCCAAAGAAUAAGCACCGGCUAACUUCGUG
rnacentral:rRNA from 1 species